AUUGAACGCUGGCGGCAGGCCUAACACAUGCAAGUCGAGCGGAUGACAGGAGCUUGCUCCUGGAUUCAGCGGCGGACGGGUGAGUAAUGCCUAGAAAUCUGCCUGGUAGUGGGGGACAACGUUUCGAAAGGAACGCUAAUACCGCAUACGUCCUACGGGAGAAAGCAGGGGACCUUCGGGCCUUGCGCUAUCAGAUGAGCCUAGGUCGGAUUAGCUAGUUGGUGAGGUAAUGGCUCACCAAGGCGACGAUCCGUAACUGGUCUGAGAGGAUGAUCAGUCACACUGGAACUGAGACACGGUCCAGACUCCUACGGGAGGCAGCAGUGGGGAAUAUUGGACAACGGGCGAAAGCCUGAUCCAGCCAUGCCGCGUGUGUGAAGAAGGUCUUCGGAUUGUAAAGCACUUUAAGUUGGGAGGAAGGGUUGUAGAUUAAUACUCUGCAAUUUUGACGUUACCGACAGAAUAAGCACCGGCUAACUCUGUGCCAGCAGCCGCAGUAAUAC
rnacentral:rRNA from 1 species